UACGUAGGCAGCAAGCGUUGUUCGGAGUUACUGGGCGUAAAGGGUGUGUAGGCGGUUGGAUAAGUGUGGUGUGAAAUCUCCCGGCUUAACUGGGAGGGUGCGCCGUAGACUGUGGGGCUAGAGUGUGGGAGAGGAAAGUGGAAUUCCUGGUGUAGCGGUGAAAUGCGUAGAUAUCAGGAGGAACACCGGUGGUGGUAAACG
rnacentral:rRNA from 1 species